rnacentral:rRNA from 1 species
CGUAGUUGGUUUCUGGUUUGAGCGUCCGGCGAGUUUAUCUCUGUACUAUGGAUGUUUGGGCCAUAUUUUGUGAGGAUGCCUUUCUGCCAUUGAGUUGGUGGUUGGGUAGACUUGCAUCGUUUACUGUGAAAAAAUUAGAGUGUUUAAAGCAGGCGUUUGCUCAUUUGAAUACAUUAGCAUGGAAUAAUAAGAUACGACCUUGGUGGUCUAUUUUGUUGGUUUGCACGCCAGGGUAAUGAUUAAUAGGGACAGUUGGGGGUAUUCAUAUUUCAACGUCAGAGGUGAAAUUCUUGGAUCGUUGAAAGAUGAGCUUAGGCGAAAGCUUUUACCAAGGAUGUUUUCAUUAAUCAAGAACGAAAGUUAGGGGAUCGAAGAUGAUUAGAUACCAUCGUAGUCUUAACCAUAAACUAUGCCGACUCGGGAUUGGCAGUCGUUUACUUUAGAAUGACCUUGUCAGCACCGUAUGAGAAAAUCAAAGUCUUUUGGGUUCCGGGGGGAGUAUGGUCGCAAGGCUGAAACUUUAAAGGAAUUGACGGAAGGGCACCACCAGGAGUGGAGCCUGCGGCUUAAUUUUGACUCAACACGGGGAAACUUACCAGGCCCAGACAUAGUAAGGAUUGACAGAUUGAGAGCUCUUUCUUGAUUCUAUGGGUGGGGGUGCAUGGCCGUUCUUAGUUGGUGGAGGGAUUUGGCUGGUUAAUUCCGUAACGAACGAGACCUCCGCGUGCUAAAUAGUCCUGCUUACCAAUUUGGUAGGUAAGGACUUCUUAGAGGGACUUUUCAG